rnacentral:rRNA from 1 species
UACGGAGGGUGCAAGCGUUGUUCGGAAUUAUUGGGCGUAAAGCGCACGUAGGUGGCUUCAGAAGUCCGGUGUGAAAUCCCUCGGCUUAACCGAGGAAGUGCGCCGGAAACCAUGGAGCUAGAGUAUAGGAGGGGAGAGUGGAAUUCCCAGUGUAGAGGUGAAAUUCGUAGAUAUUGGGAGGAACACCGGUGGCGAAAGCGACUCUCUGGACUAUUACUGACACUAAGGUGCGAAAGCGUGGGUAGCAAACAGG